AUUUUUUACCCAUACCCAUGAGUGUCGGUGGCUUAUUGGGUGAGUUGGGUUUAGGUUCAUGUACCCCUCCCCUGCCCAUAUGGCAACUAUGCACCUGUCAAGAAAGUAGAAACUACAUUCGUUUUAGAUUCCCCGAGUCCGAAGUGAUGGUUAAUCAUUCUCAGCCAUCUUUUAGCACUUCUACUUGUCCAGCUACUUUGACCUGUAAUGUAUUCUUUCUAAAGGACGUGUGAGAGUUUACAUCCACAAGUCAUAAUGGUUGCCUUCACUUGAUAUAUUAGACCUUCAUAAAUACAUUGGCAGAGCAAUUCCAGUGUUUGCAUGGCCCACAGUGACUGUUUGAUUCUCUUGAUUGCUCCAAAAAAAUAUUCACCAACAAGACAGAUGGACCAUUAACCCUUUGGAGCCUAAUUGUACGAGAGAACAAUUUAAUAAAGAAUAUUCUUGCAAAACGUAUUUCAGUUGAUUAUGGCAAAACAUUAAAAACCCCUAGCAUGACACAGCACUUGAUAUCUUUAAUACUACUCAACAAACCUCUAGUUUAUUACAAAAGGCAAAUAAAUAGACUAAACAUGGAUAGUAAGCCAACGGACAGAUGAACAGUUGAGAAAAAAUUUAGCCCAUCUGUUAUAUACACUGUGCCAACAUUGCAUUUUCAUAAUAUAGUGAGCAGAGAUUGAAAAUAAUAUGUGCAUGUUUAUUUUUAGGGCAAUAUAUUCAUCGAAAAAUGUGUAAUCUCUGUUGGUAUAAACUUCCAGACAUAUGUAGUAAAAAGCUGAACUGAACUCAUUAUGCUUUUCAAGUCCUCUAUGGGAUAACCUGCAGCAUUGUUAAAGGGCUGCUAAUUCUCAAGGUAAGUUGCUUUGCUA